rnacentral:lncRNA from 1 species
GUUGAGGAAAGCAUGGUCUGCCUGCAGUUGGUAAAAAUUUCCUCUGCACUCUCAGCCAACAGUAACCAACCAGUCUUGAAAAACAGUUAACAACCAAGUGCAACAUGUUGGGAUACUUUGAUCAAAACAUCAGUGAGGCUGUGAAGAAGCUGAGGGAAAUUAAAUGCAGAGGGAGGGAUGCAAGAACCAGUAAAUCACCCAUGUUCUCCCUGGUGUCAAGUUCUGAUGAAGAUCUCCAAGAGGAGGCCUACAAUCUGUACAGUCAAGGUCUAAAAUAUGUCUUUGCUGUGGAAGAGGAACCUCGUUUCCCAUGGGGAGCUCUGCUGGUGUUCGGGUUAGGAGUUUCGCAGAUUGUUGGAGGGGUGCUUCUCACUGUAUUUACAUUUGGAACAUUAGCUCAAGUCGGCAUGGGGCUAAUCACUGAAGGAAUAUCAGAAUGCAGCUCUAGCAUUAGGUCCAUGGUGACAGGAGAUUUCAGUUGGAAAUCAUGGGUUAUAGAAAAAGCAAUUUCUAUUGGUAUAUCUGUCAUUGGGUUUGGAGUUGGAAAACUGCUUUCAAAAGGCCUCAAAGGUUCUAAACUUUUGAUCAAGAAAUUCGGCAAAGAACUGAAGGCAAUGCCAGAGUUUUUUUCUAAACAGAGCAAAGCUGGUCUUAGUGUUGUUGUAAAGACAAAUAUGAAGAAUGCAGUAAAAUACACUGCAAAAACAAUAAUAAUGGAUACCAGUAUGUAUUUUGUUGGAAAGGCAGAAGAGGAAUUACUGAAUAAAAUACUUGAAAGCAUUAAAUGUAAAGUGAAAGAAAAGACUGUUGAGGUUGUGAAAAGCAACAUGGAAAAACAAGCUUUGGUUGAAUUAGUAGACUUCAUCAUACUUUCACAUCUUCAGGAUAAACAACAAUUGUCUGAUCUACUGCAGGACGAGAACAGAGAGAGUCUUCUGAGUAUUUUCAGAGAGUUAAGCAAGAAUGCAUUACAUCCAUUCUAUUCAGACCUCAGCUGGCAGAACAAGCUUAACUCAUCCAUAUUCAAAGUGAUUGAGCGUGCUAAAUCUGAGGUCAAAGGCAAAACAUGUGCAAUUCUGACAGCUAUACAAACCAUACACAUGUCAGCACUUGCAGUAGAUGCCAUAUGUACAGUAGACAGCCUC